rnacentral:rRNA from 1 species
AUUGAACGCUGGCGGCAGGCCUAACACAUGCAAGUCGAGCGGAUGAAGGGAGCUUGCUCCUGGAUUCAGCGGCGGACGGGUGAGUAUGCCUAGGAAUCUGCCUGGUAGUGGGGAUAACGUCCGGAAACGGGCGCUAAUACCGCAUACGUCCUGAGGGAGAAAGUGGGGGAUCUUCGGACCUCACGCUAUCAGAUGAGCCUAGGUCGGAUUAGCUAGUUGGUGGGGUAAAGGCCUACCAAGGCGACGAUCCGUAACUGGUCUGAGAGGAUGAUCAGUCACACUGGAACUGAGACACGGUCCAGACUCCUACGGGAGGCAGCAGUGGGGAAUAUUGGACAAUGGGCGAAAGCCUGAUCCAGCCAUGCCGCGUGUGUGAAGAAGGUCUUCGGAUUGUAAAGCACUUUAAGUUGGGAGGAAGGGCAGUAAGUUAAUACCUUGCUGUUUUGACGUUACCAACAGAAUAAGCACCGGCUAACUUCGUG